ACGGUCACCUCAAAGUGUCUCUGAACCUUCGAAGCAGUGUACUCACUAUGCCAAACUUCGUGCAAAAGGGUUUAGUCUUCCCGCGUUUAAACGGUUCGUUUCAGGUGUCACACGAUCGUGUAUUGAUUAUUUUUUUCUUGUACAGACUAUAGAACUGUAUGUACGCAUAUAUUCAUACAAUUGUAUUGCAAAUACUUCAUUACGCAAAGACACACUGAUGUUUAUUGUUAUUGGAACAGAUGUAACGUACAAUGCAUUAAUAUGCACAUAUCACUUUGCGUUACAAUAGCAUUACAAUCAAGUGAAAAAUAAUAAAAUUUCAGGUCAACAAUAAGACAUACAAUAGAAGAUACACGUACAUACACGUAUACGCAACUGUUACAGUAUCUAACUUUAAAGACUAAGUAAAAUAUAAUAACACGUCGUUAAAAUGAAAUCAAUAAUAAAUUUGUAGGAAGUGAGAAUGGUACCACGAGGUCAUCGGCAUCUUGACUUCAAAUUACGUAGAACUUUAUAAAAAUAACUCAAUCAUUGUUAUAACAUUGGAAACUACCAAAAAUUAAAUUUUGUAAAUGAAUGUAUAUAACUUUCUUUAAAAAUUCAUAUAUUUUAAAAAAUAGAAAGAUAUAUAUUUAAACAACAUAGUUCAUAGGAAGAAUUACACCAAAAAUUAUGAAAAUUGUUCACAUUGGUGACGCUUAAGUCUACCAUUUACUUUAUCGUAGAUACAUCCCUGCGGUUUGUGCCUGCGCAUGCGCGUAUCUGUACGCACGAAGAGGUACUCGACUAAUCGCAUCGGGUGCCCUGGCCACGCUUCCCGCUCUUCGUUUCCUCGUGUUAUUUAGUGAACGUCUUUACGUUCUUUUCCGAAUUCUUGUCAUUUUGUGGUUACCCAAACGUCACGCGAUACCUUUGAAUUUUGCGCAUUAGUUAUAAUCGUAUAUAUUAAACACAUCCUCUGGGUAUAUAGAAUUUCUGCGCAUCAAUACGUUCGUGCAACGUCAACCUAACCCCCAAUAAGUGCAGGAGCCACGGACCUGACAUUCCAUUACGAUGUAUAAGGCUUUCCUCCAGGUAUCCGUGGUGCUAUAACCCCAUUUUCCUUUCUCUUUCUUCUUCUAAUACACAUAUGCGUAUGCAUACUCAUUUUCAUUUCCUAUUACGAUUACUUUUUGCGUUAUUUGGUUAUGAUUCGACUCGAGGUCAUCUCUAGCUUGUUAAGUUUGUACAGAUGUAGAAACUCUGUUGCUUCGAGUUCAUAGAUAUUAAUAAAUAAAAUUAGAACAGAGUUAUGGUAUUCGAUUUUUGUCGCUUUAAUUUAGUAUUUGAACAACAUAUGUUAAUUCGUUGCGUUGGAUCGUAAUAAAAGUUAAUUAGGAAUACAGAUAUUAAUGUACGAGAUUUUUAAACUUUCUAUUCGACAUUGAAAUGAUUGUUGCAACGAAAAUUUUAUUAGAGAAAAACGGUUUUAUUCAAAUUGCGUACUAUUAUAUCUUGGUUUAAUUUUUAAUUUACUCAACUAUGAUUCAACUAUGUAUAUUACUUUCAUAUCUCGUAUUUUACUAAUAUUUUUAUUGUAAUACAAAAUAAACAGCGAAAUAAAAAAGUGUAUAUUAUCAGUCUUUUUACAAACUUGAUAAAAAAAUGCUUGGUUUUAUAUAUUAUUAAUCAAACACUCAGAUGUAUACCCUUCGAAGGUUCCAAGAGGAAUAGCCCUGCUGAACAUUUUACGAUUGUACAAUGCUUGCUUACUUACUUGUAAACGUCAAUGAACGCAUGCGCAUAAGAGAGUACCGUGAAUAGUCUGUCAUCAGGAUCGUAUAUAAGAUGGAGACACAAAAGAGGGAAACAUACCCAAAAUAUAGUAAAAUAAUUUAUCUCAAUUUCAUUAGUAAAAUUUACGAUUUGUUUAAGUAAUUAUAUCGUUUCACACGUCAUAAGAAGUUAAAAAUAGAUUAAACGUUUUAAGAAAUAAAAGAACGUUAUUCUAUAACAAAGUUAUUGAUUUUUUAAUAUUCUAUAAAAACCUACUGCUUGAUAUAUUAAUAUUAUUUUUUCAACGAAAAUUUACAGAUUAUGUAGGCAUCAUAAACUUUGAUCUAUCUCAUUAACUUUCUUACGGUGAUCUAUCGCGCUGUUAUAUUUAUUACUUCUUACAAUUGCAUAUAAACGUAUAAGCAAAUUUAAUAUUUACUCAAGAAAAGAUAACAUGUGCUAAUAGUCCGAGGCGCAAUGUUCUAUAAUUCAUUCAAAUAUUUUAUGCUAACAGAACUAUUAUAUAUCUAUGUUCGUUGUUGUAUAUCUAUCAAUCGUAAACAAUUCGAAAGAAUAUGUACGUACUUAGUAAGUAACAGCUUGUACAUUUGAAUUUGCUUAAUGAGCUCUCAGUGAUCUACGGAUAACUGAGUUCGAAGCACCUGGCGCACAGCCAAUGCGGUUGAGAAAAACGUGUUAGUAUCACUAACAUCUUUCAUUAAGGACAGAUACAUAUUGUACAUACAUAUAUGUAUGUAUUCUUUGUAUUUCGCAUAUAACAAUUUUAUAUUUAAAGAAUUCAUAUGAUAAUUUUUAUACAAUAUGAAUUGUUAAAUAUAUAUAUGAUGUAUUUAUUAUAUUUAAUAUAAAAAUUCUUUUUUCUAUUUUUUCAUUUUUGUAUGGAAUGUCAAAAAUUUUGUGGGUUUAAUGUACAUGAAAAUGUAUUCUCAUUAUAUUCGUAGUUGAAUAAUAUAUAAAUAAUGUUAAUAAUUAAUUUACAAGAGAUUCAGCCAUGCAUUUGCUACGAUAUUGAUUCGUUACAUUGGAAUUAAUAUAAUUCAUCGCAUAACGGGUUAUACAUGGAAGAAUAAUAUAAUGAUGCUUACCGAACUGAGUAUAGUAUAUGUAUUGCGAUUAAAUAAAAAAUUAUCAUUAUUAUGUAUAAUUGCUAAUUACAUGUUUUUAUGGAGGUGAAAUACGAUAUUAAUGACAAUAUGCAUACAUAUUUCAGCCGAUUAAUUUUAAAAUGAUGUACGGGAAAGUGGUCAAUUUACAAAGGGUUAUAAUAUAGUGUAAUUGUCACAUAAUAAUAGCUUAGUUUGCGAAAAAAUUCGAUAGAUUUCAAUAAUUUAAUCUAAUCGACUUUAAAGAAUAAUAGAAGCACAUCAAAUAAUUACAUGAAAUUCCUGAAUCUAAUAUUUCUGCUUCUAAAUGUUACUAUUAAAUAUUCACGUUUUCCUAUCUAUAUAUAUAAUCUAUGCACAUAAAUAGUUCUCACGAAGUAACUUAAUGAGAUUAAGCUUACUAUAAGUCAUA